GCACAACAUAGCAUCUGCUCUCCUCUGCCUUCUCAAAGCUGUUAGAAAUCGGCCUCAUAUCUAUUUUGUGAACCUGUUCGAAAAUUAUGCUUCUUUUAAAGCCAGGGAGACAGCUGCAAAAGAGCAGGAAGGGCAGGAGCAGGAAGAAGCCUCCAGGAGGGAGAAAGCACAUCUCUGGGAGAUGGAUGAGGACGAGUAUGAUGCCCUCACUGAGGAGCAGAAAACUCAGUUUAAUAACAAUAUACGACAAGUCCAGCAAGAGAGGAAGAGGAGGGAGAUGGCUCAAGUGCUUGCAAAAAAGCACCGGCAGGAGCUAGAGCACUUGAAGAAAGAAGAAGAGCUGAAAAAGAUGUCUAAGC
rnacentral:lncRNA from 14 species